rfam:Triticum aestivum genome assembly, contig: Triticum_aestivum_CS42_TGACv1_scaffold_161725_2DL
UAGAUACUCCCUCCGUCCCAAAUUACUUGUCGUAGAAAUGGAUAUAAAUGAAUGUAUCUAGAACUAAAAAUACAUCUAGAUACAUUCAUUUCUGCGACUAGUAAUUUGGGAUUGAGGGAGUACUAG